UACCGAAGGCAGCAGUGGGGAAUAUUGCACAAUGGGCGAAAGCCUGAUGCAGCUAUGCCGCGUGUAUGAAGAAGGCCUUAGGGUUGUAAAGUACUUUCAUCGGGGAGGAAAAAACAAAACUAAUAAUUUUAUUUCUUGACGUUACCCGAAAAAGAAGCACCGGCUAACUCCGUGCCAGCAGCCGCGGUAAUACGGAGGGUGCUAGCGUUAAUCAGAAUUACUGGGCGUAAAGAGCACGUAGGUGGUUUUUUUAAGUCAGAUGUGAAAUCCCUGGGCUUAACCUGGAACUGCAUUUUGAAACUGAAAUACUAGAGUAUCGUAGAGGGAGGUAGAAUUCUAGGUGUAGCGGUGAAAUGCGUAGAUAUCUGGAGGAAUACCUGUGGCGAAAGCGGCCUCCUAAACGAAUACUGACACUGAGGUGCGAAAGCGUGGGGAGCAAACAGGGAUUAGAUACC
rnacentral:rRNA from 1 species